rnacentral:rRNA from 1 species
AGCGAACGCUGGCGGCAGGCCUAACACAUGCAAGUCGAACGAAGUGGCGGACGGGUGAGUAACACGUGGGAACGUGCCCUUUGGUACGGAAUAACUCAGGGAAACUUGAGCUAAUACCGUAUGCCAUUGGAGCGGCCCGCGUCUGAUUAGCUAGUUGGUGGUGUAAUGGACCACCAAGGCGACGAUCAGUAGCUGGUCUGAGAGGAUGAUCAGCCACAUUGGGACUGAGACACGGCCCAAACUCCUACGGGAGGCAGCAGUGGGGAAUCUUGCGCAAUGGGCGAAAGCCUGACGCAGCCAUGCCGCGUGAAUGAUGAAGGUCUUAGGAUUGUAAAAUUCUUUCACCGGGGACGCGGUACCCGGAGAAGAAGCCCCGGCUAACUUCGUGCCAGCAGCCGCGGUAAUUC